rnacentral:lncRNA from 1 species
AUACUAAUUUCCGUAAAAUACCACUUUCAUCACCCCAGUGGAUCGAUUCUAUAUUCCUCCACCAUGGAUGUAAGUCCUCCAGCAAAGUAGCAUUCCAUCUGGCUCUGUCAUUUAUAGGCUGGGUGACAAUAGGCAGCUGGCUGAAUUUCUCUGAAACUUAAUUUCUUCAUCUGUCAGUUGAAGGGACCCACACCUAUCUUAACAGGAUAGAGAACGGUAGCUGGGCCCUCUCUCCAACCCCAUUCCUGGCAGUCCUUCAAGAAGGCUCAGCUUCCAUCGGGCCCUGUUUUCUCCUUCCUACUGCAGAGAGGCUCUGGGCUCCGUCAGUUCUCUAUGAGCGCUGACCAGUUAAAUGCUCUUUCUGAAUCAAAUGCUCCUUGCAGAUUUGUUGGUUCCAGGCAUUGAGAAUACAAAGCAACACCAAUGGGUAACAUUUCAAGAGGAUUUACCAGGUGUUGGGAGCGUUAUAUACAUUUAGUUUUAAUCUAACAAACAGAUAACACUUAAUAUACUGUAGGAAUAGUUCUAAGCACUUCAAAUGUGUUAGCUCAUUUAACCCUCGUAACAAUCCCAUGCUACAGAUGGGAAGACUAAGGCACGGAAAUGUUAAGUAUGUUGCUCGACGUCACUUAGCCAGUAAGUGGUAGAGCUGGGAUUUGAAACGGGACACCUGCCUCUGGAUUUUGUGCACCCCAUCAUUACACUGGAAAAUCCCUCCCUUAAGCUUAACAAGAAUCCAGUGAAGCAGGCACUAUUGCUAUCCUCCAUUUUACCCUGAGGAUCAGAGAAAUUAGGUUACUAUCCUGAAGUCACACAGCUAGUAAGUGGUAGACCAGAUUUUGGCAAGGUUUGUCUGACUCCUAAGAUGAUAACUGUUUUGAUGACGUGUAACUAUUGCAAUCAUUCCUCUAACAGUUCAUGCUUUUUCCAUGAGUGCCUAUCACCUAUACGAUUGUUUAAAUACAGCUAUUUUAAUGAACUCGUUUUCAAGAUGUUUUUGUAUUUUCCUAGCCUUCACAUCUACUGAAUCACAGAUAACAAGGUAUUUAUAUGUUUGUAACUCCCAUUAAACUGCAUAACUGUUUAAAAAGUCUGUGUGCCACUUAACAUCAUCUCAUGUGCCUGCUGAGGCAUGUACACCACACUUUGGGAUAGGUUACGUUAUAUAACACGCUUAACCCACAGUCUACCCUUCAUCACCAAAGUUGUGUUCAAACUCCUUUUCCUAAAAAACGCGUGGGAUGUAGGUUUCUUUCCUGGAGUCAGAGAGGUAAAAUGCAUUUAGUGAUGUUCCUAGAGGAGUCCCGACUCAGUGGUCAGAACAUGGCUUGCAUUCCGGUGGAUGCUGGUGAUGCUUUGUGGGUGGAGGUGGAGAGGCAGUGUGGGAGAAUCAUUCAUCCUGCACAGCAGAGCUGAGGAAAACAUUGACCUACUCUCUAAGAAUGUUUUGCUUUUACUCCGACAGGCUGCUGUGUUAGAAAGAAGAGUAGCAGAGUGGGCUCUAUAUGUAAAAAUGUGCUGGGGCUGGCCUGGUGACAUAGUGGUUAAGUUCGCACGCUCUACUUCGGUGGCCCAGGCUUCACAGUUUCGGAUCCCGGGCGCAGACCUAGAACUGCUGAAGCCACACUGUUGUGGCAUCUCACAUAAAUCAGAGGAAGAUCGGGACAGAUGUUAGCUCAGCGACAGUCUUCCUCAAGCAAAAUGAAGAAGAUUGGCAACAAUGUCAGCUCAGGGCAAAUCUUCCUCAACAACAACAGCAACAGGAACAACAACGAACUUCUCCCAUUUCUAUGACUAUUUGUAUGACUGGGAAUUCUGGUGGUGGCUUCCCAGAUGUUUAUAGCUCUGCCAUAAGUUUAGAAUUUGU